rnacentral:rRNA from 1 species
UACGUAGGGUGCGAGCGUUGUCCGGAAUUAUUGGGCGUAAAGGGCUCGUAGGCGGUUUGUCGCGUCGGGAGUGAAAACCAGGUGCUUAACACCUGGCUUGCUUUCGAUACGGGCAGACUAGAGGUAUUCAGGGGAGAACGGAAUUCCUGGUGUAGCGGUGAAAUGCGCAGAAUAUCAGGAGGAACACCGGUGGCGAAGGCAGGUCUCUGGGCAUUAACUGACGCUGGAGGAGCGAAAGCAUGGGGAGCGAACAGG